rnacentral:rRNA from 1 species
UACAGAGGUCCCGAGCGUUGUUCGGAUUCACUGGGCGUAAAGGGUGCGUAGGUGGCCUGAAAAGUUUGAUGUGAAAGCUCAGGGCUUAACCCUGAAAUGGCAUUGAAUACUGUCGGGCUGGAGGUUUGGAGGGGGGACUGGAAUUCUUGGUGUAGCAGUGAAAUGCGUAGAUAUCAAGAGGAACACCAGUGGCGAAGGCGAGUCCCUGGACAACACCUGACACUGAGGCACGAAGGCCAGGGGAGCAAACGGG